GUGGGUUUUAUACGAAAUUUCAAUUUGGUCACUGAGAAAAUAAAGUGAUCAAUUUAGCUAAAUUAUUUCAUCAGUGACCAAAUUGAAAUUUCUUGUAAAGAGCCUUCAUU
rnacentral:miRNA from 1 species